rfam:Cricetulus griseus cell line CHO-K1, whole genome shotgun sequence.
UUAUCAGUCAGGCUCCUGGCUAGAAUCCAGGUACCAUCUGGUACCUGAUCUAGCCAAAGCCUGACUGUAAG